UCACCUUCUCCCUCGGAAGGGAGGAAGGGUUUGAUUUUUUAUUUCCCCGGACAUUUUACAUUUCAUUUCAGUGUUUCAUAAAUUUACAUAAAGUUCUAAGCAUCUCAACUACUUCUUAGUAGGGUAAAUAAAUUAGUGUCAUUUAAAUUACGAGUAUGUAGCAGCGGAUCUGAAAUUCUCGUCUAAAUAUAAUUCAAAAUCCCAGCAACACAUAAACCCAUGCACUGCAAAAAUGUGAACCAUAUAAUUUAAAAGUGGUCACAAAAUUUAUCAGCCUCUAACCCAUCUCCAGGACUUGAGUCACACCUAAUUUUGAAUAUCUUGGACAGAAUCAUCCUCACUGUUCAUACACGAAAUUGACCACACUUAUGUAUAUACUAUACUUGAAGUGAGUUAGUUAUGUGCUGUGCGAAUGGAGCUAAACUCACGAGAAACCCUAGUCUCAGCACAAGGUACUUCAGGAGGCCGUAGGUUUAAGCUCCACCCGCACAGUACAUAACUCGUUCACUUUAUGUAUACCAACAGGAAAUAUGUUUUCCACAUAAAACUCUCCCAUCACACAAGUAACAAAGGCUACCGUUACCUAACUUUUUUCAAGGAAUAGGUACUUUUUUUAAACAAAUCUAAACUCCAAGAAAUAGAUAUGUAACUUUACGCUUUGAAUAGUUAAUGCUGUCUCAUUUCUAAAUUAAGCAAACUAUACACCCUAAGAAACACGGUAACUAAGUUGUUACCAGGCGGAGUAUCUAUGUGACUCUACCGCAUGGUAAUUAAUUUAUCAUUGAGUGGUAGAAAAUUACAUAGUUACCAACUGGUAAUAUUUUCAAAUUUCUCGACUGGGGAUAUUCCCGGUAUGGUAGCAAAAUGUCUGCCACGCAAUAAUAAAUUCAUUCCAUGCGGCAUUGUCAGAUAGAUACGCCGCCUGGUAAUAACUAGUUACCGGGUUUCUUAGAAUGAAUUAAAUCAAGAGUAUCUUUAACCUGGCAAAAGAGUAAAGUUAACUUUACCCUUUUACCUAAAUUUAAAUUUUUAUAGUGCAGAUACAUACAUAAUUACUUAUUAACAGAGACACUUUUAAGAUUCAGAUAUACAUAUGUACUUAUAGUUAUGUGUAUGUACCCAUUGAUUGGGAAAUGAUUAAUCGUAAUGGAUUUGAUUUUAAAUUCCAUCACGCAUAAUCAUUUUCCAAUAAGUACGUACAAAACGUACACAGAAAGAGUAUUUAUUUAUACACAUUUUCAUAAGUUCAACGUUACGAAACGUUCUGGUUUCAUAAUGUUGCCCGUUGUCCUCGGAGAAUGCCGUUACUCGGCGGAUAAUUAAUAUUAUAUUAGGGUCAUCAAGAUGGUAAUUGGCGACUUGAAGAUUAGGUUCCUCUUUAUGCAAAUCCCACACAGUAGCAGCGUGGGUUUCGUGACGCAUGUAGGUAUUCCAACCAGUAUUUCAUCCUAGCUCUGCGCUCACAAAAUUCAUAAAAUUCUUCUAGUCGCUUUUGUCCGUCUAAACUGUUAAUUAAUGCUUUGCCUAGUAAUUCGCUCAGCGACAAAUGCAUAAAGUACAACGGGGAAAAUUUGAAAUAAUUCGGCUAGUACAAGAGGAGGACUCCGGUUCCACUAUGUUCCUAGCUUUUGUAAUUUAUCCACCUUAAAUUGAACUAAUAAUUUCAUAUUAUCAUAUUCUAUUCACAGUUUAAUUAUCGUGUUCGAUACAUAAUCGAAUUGUGUAUUUCAUAUCCUUCAACUUUUAUGCUUUGUUGAAGGACUAAAUUUGUUCUUGUAUUGGUAAUACAAUUUUUAAAUUACUUCUUUCUUCAUCCUGUGACGCAUGAAGGUAGUCAUGCCUUGCAUAAAUUUUCCUCUUCGUCUUUCAACAAACCUCUUUCUCAUUGUACUCAAUAAAUUAAGUUAAAUAAGCAUUAAUUUAUUUCCAAAAUGAUUACAAUGAUUGUAAUAUUGUAACAUUUUUAUUUAGAUUAUUUAGAUGACAUUAAAUAUGAUAAUUUUUAUCGUAAAAUACUGGUGAUUAAUAAUUUUGCGUAGUUGGUAUAUGCAGAUAUUUAUUCACGUC